UAAUACGGGGGGAGCAAGCGUUGUUCGGAUUUACUGGGCGUAAAGGGCGCGUAGGCGGCCAGCACAAGUCAGUUGUGAAAUCUCCGAGCUUAACUCGGAAAGGUCAACUGAUACUGUGCGGCUAGAGUGCGGAAGGGGCAACUGGAAUUCUUGGUGUAGCGGUGAAAUGCGUAGAUAUCAAGAGGAACACCUGCGGCGAAGGCGGGUUGCUGGGCCGACACUGACGCUGAGGCGCGAAAGCUAGGGGAGCGAACGGGAUUAGAUACCCCGGUAGUCCUAGCCUUAAACGAUGAAUGCUUGGUGUCUGGGGUUAUAAAGUCCCCGGGUGCCGUCGCUAACGCUUUAAGCAUUCCGCCUGGGGAGUACGGUCGCAAGACUG
rnacentral:rRNA from 1 species